rnacentral:misc_RNA from 1 species
GGAGCUCACAUUUUGAUGACUAUGGAAGAGAGAGGACAUAAAGCAAAUCAGUAUAUUUACUCGUCUCUCAUCAGCGGUUUAUUUAAGGAAGGCAAGUCUGAAGAUGCUGUGAGGCUGUGGAAAGAAAUGGUGGAGAAGGGGUGCAAACCCAACGUUGUUGUUUAUGGUGCCUUUAUAGAUGGUCUAUGUCGAGAUGGAAAGCCAGAUGAAGC